GCCUUGGUGGUGCAGUGAUAGCACUCCCCACCCCGGAAAGGGUAAAACGCGGGUUCAACUCCCGCUUAGGACG